GUCUAUAGCCCUACCAUCCUGAAUGCACCUGAUCUCGGUCAUGCCUGGUUAGUGUUUGGAGGUGAGACCACCUGGGAGUACCAGGUGCUGUAGGCU
rnacentral:rRNA from 1 species